GGCUACACACGUGCUACAAUGGGUAGAACAGAGAGUCGCAAAGCUGUGAAGUGGAGCUAAUCUCAGAAAACUAUUCUUAGUUCGGAUUGCACUCUGCAACUCGAGUACAUGAAGUUGGAAUCGCUAGUAAUCGCGAAUCACCAAUGUCGUUGGUGAAUACGUUCUCGGGUCUUGUACACACCGCCCGUCACACCACGAGAGUUGGUUGCACCUGAAGUAGCAGGCCUAACCGUAAGGAGGGAUGCUCCGAGGGUGUGAUUAGCGAUUGGGGUGAAGUCGUAACAAGGUAUCCGUACGGGAACGU
rnacentral:rRNA from 1 species